UAAGGAAUAUUGGACAAUGGACGCAAGUCUGAUCCAGCCAUGCCGCGUGAAGGAUGAAUGCCCUCUGGGUUGUAAACUUCUUUUAUAGGGGAAGAAAGAUACUUUUUUUAAGGUAGUUGACGGUACCCUAUGAAUAAGCACCGGCUAACUCCGUGCCAGCAGCCGCGGUAAUACGGAGGGUGCAAGCGUUAUCCGGAUUUACUGGGUUUAAAGGGUGCGUAGGCGGGCAUGUAAGUCAGUGGUGAAAUACCGGAGCUUAACUUCGGAACUGCCAUUGAUACUAUAUGUCUUGAAUUGAGUGGGAGUGGGCGGAAUAUGACAUGUAGCGGUGAAAUGCAUAGAUAUGUCAUAGAACACCGAAAGCGAAGGCAGCUCACUAUACUUAAAUUGACGCUCAUGGACGAAAGCGUGGGGAGCAAACA
rnacentral:rRNA from 1 species